rnacentral:rRNA from 1 species
GACGAACGCUGGCGGCGUGCUUAACACAUGCAAGUCGAACGGAAAGGCCCUGCUUUUGUGGGGUGCUCGAGUGGCGAACGGGUGAGUAACACGUGAGUAACCUGCCCUUGACUUUGGGAUAACUUCAGGAAACUGGGGCUAAUACCGGAUAGGAGCUCCUGCUGCAUGGUGGGGGUUGGAAAGUUUCGGCGGUUGGGGAUGGACUCGCGGCUUAUCAGCUUGUUGGUGGGGUAGUGGCUUACCAAGGCUUUGACGGGUAGCCGGCCUGAGAGGGUGACCGGCCACAUUGGGACUGAGAUACGGCCCAGACUCCUACGGGAGGCAGCAGUGGGGAAUAUUGCACAGUGGGCGGAAGCCUGAUGCAGCAACGCCGCGUGCGGGAUGACGGCCUUCGGGUUGUAAACCGCUUUCGCCUGUGACGAAGCGUGAGUGACGGUAAUGGGUAAGGAAGCACCGGCUAACUACGUG